UUAGAACUCCAUUACAUUACACUUCCUAUGGCCCUGAGAGACUGAUAUGACGGCCAGGAAUAGCUGCAAUAGAGCAGUACUCUGGCCAUAUUUCCUCAGCCUCUCUCAUACUGGGAACUACAGAAGGAGAGGUACUGAAGUAUUGCAUAGGUCCCAUGCUGCCCGGUGAAGCCAGCUGCUCCAGUAGAGCCCUCCAUCCUGCAUGCAUGGGUGAUUUACACCACCAGAAAUUGUUAGUAGACUAAGAGCCAUGUGCAUACUGCAAAGAGCAAGAGGAGGAUUCUUGCCUCUCCAGCCAGCUGAUACUCAGACCAUUUAUAAAUGGAAACUUUUUCUUCUUGGUCAACGUGGUAGCAACUUUUCAGAACAUCAUGGAGAUCUACGAAGUAACUGCAGAUUAAUGUGA
rnacentral:lncRNA from 1 species